GAACCAAUAGUGGUGGUGUAUAUGUUUCAAAAUAAUUCUCUAGUUAUGGAGUAUGUAGGAUGUCUGCUUGCUCGAGUACUCUUGAAUAAAAUGAUAUGGCAGAGAUGAAAAUCUAGCAUCUAUUUGAAACUAUUCACAAUAUGAUUUAUAUAAAGCAUAUGAAGUGUAAGUUUUGGCCCAAGUGCUUGAAAAUAGCAAUAUAUUAUUAACAAAAUAUCUUUGAGAAGUAUUGACUACAAGACUAAGAAAAAUUGCUUGGGAAGCAUCUUGAUAUUUCUCAUUUUCAUAUGUUUGGAUGUGUCUGCUAUGUACAUGGCUAUGACGAGUCUCUAAUAA
rnacentral:lncRNA from 1 species